CCUAGAUUACCUUUUCAAGACAACGGUCAAUUGGGCCACGAACUCCAUUUCUUCCUCGGACUCAAAAUAAAUUUUACAAAAUUUUGUUAAAAAUUAAUAAAAUUAUGGGAAAAGACUAGGUAUGGUAACCCAUUACCCAAGAAUAAAGUAUGCUGGCGUCUACGGGCUGUCAGAUGGAAGAUAAAAAAUCUCAUCCACAUGAGCCAUUGUCUUACAAGACUUUCCCAAUAUCACCGCUCCACCGUCGUCCUUCCUCUUCUUCUUCUACCUUCCUCUUUCCUCACGGCCUCCGCCUGCCUCCGUUAUAAAAAAAUUGCCCAUCCCCGCUGCCCCUCUCUCUCUCUCUCUCUCUCUCGCCUGGUCGUCUUCUCACAAUACCGCCGCUCCACCGGCUUCCUUCCUCUUCUUCUUCUACCUUUCCCUUCCCUCACGUUCUCUGGCUGCCUCCGUUCUAAAAAUUUGCCGAUCCCCGCUGCCCCUCUCUCUCUCUGGCCUAGUCGUCUUCUCUAUUUCCAACUCUGGCGUCAUCAUCAGAUGGGCCGAUGCAACCCCCUAGGCCCUCUCUCUAGACAACGUAAAAAGAUUUUCUUCCGUUGCACUAUGGAGAGUAGUGUGGAGGUUGCAGAGGUGGGAGCGGCGGGAGGAGAGUGGAAGGAUUUUAGAGCUAUGAAGAAAGGAAUUGAAAUAAUUAAAACUAGAGGACAAGGGUGGGAGGAGAUCCAAUGUAGAGCAGGGAGAGGGAGAGGGAGAGGGAGAGGGGUGGGAAGACUGAAGCGCCUCAGAGAUCAGCUGCAAAGGUAGCGGGAUGAGGGGAGAGAGAAAG